rnacentral:rRNA from 1 species
UACGGAGGAUCCAAGCGUUAUCCGGAUUUAUUGGGUUUAAAGGGUGCGUAGGCGGUUUUAUAAGUUAGAGGUGAAAAUUCGGGGCUCAACUCCGGACGUGCCUCUAAUACUGUAUGACUAGAGAAUAGAUGCGGUAGGCGGAAUGUAUGGUGUAGCGGUGAAAUGCGUAGAGAUCAUACAGAACACCGAUUGCGAAGGCAGCUUACCAAACUAUAUCUGACGUUGAGGCACGAAAGCGUGGGGAGCAAACAGG